rnacentral:lncRNA from 1 species
UUGUUUCUGUAUCAAUUUUGAAUUUUGAGUCAUAAAUGAGAGUCCUCAUCGCGUGACUUCAAAUAAUAGGAUCUCUUAGACAUGAUGAUGGUAAAAUCUUCAAGACUGGAACACCUGAUAAGAAUAUGUCUAUUACGAAAAUAUCCAAUUGUGCAAUCCCUUUUCAGUCCACAUUGGAUUGAAAUGAUUCUCCGUAAUUCUUCCAGAAGGAACCCCAUAGGAAAAUUUUCCUAUAACAGCUCCUUUAAAUUCUCAAUUUGAUCCUUUCUGUUUACUUCCGCCUCUGUCCAUUUGACAAUAUUUUCACCAUUAAUCAUAGCAGCCUCCUUAAAGGGAAUGGGAAGUAUUAUGUUCUUUGAGUCACCAUUACCAUUUUGAAGUAAUUGUGAUAAAGUGCAAGGAUUGUUCUCAUAAUUAAUGCUAGUUUUAGGGUUAGGGAUCUAGAAAAUGUUUGGUUUAAGAGCUGGAUGGUUAAGGACAGGAAAGUGAGAGGUCCAAGAAAGGGUAAAAGACUGGUCAGUCGCCGGAGGAGACUGAUCAGUGGCCGGAAAAGCCAUGCUUUAGAUGAAGGGUAGGGUUUUCAUGAACCGGCAAUUUUUCGAGUAUGUAUCGAAAAU